GCCCUAUGGUGUGGUGCAAUGGGUCAGUGCAUCCAGCUAUUAACCAGAAGGUUGGUGGUUUGAGCCCACCCAGGGAGGCU